rnacentral:rRNA from 1 species
UGGGGAAUUUUGGACAAUGGGCGCAAGCCUGAUCCAGCCAUACCGCGUGAGUGAAGAAGGCCUUCGGGUUGUAAAGCUCUUUCAGACGGAAAGAAACGGUCGCGGCCAAUACCCGCGACUAAUGACGGUACCGUAGGAAGAAGCACCGGCUAACUACGUGCCAGCAGCCGCGGUAAUACGUAGGGUGCGAGCGUUAAUCGGAAUUACUGGGCGUAAAGCGUGCGCAGGCGGUUUGGUAAGACAGAUGUGAAAUCCCCGGGCUUAACCUGGGAACUGCAUUUGUGACUGCCAGACUAGAGUGUAGCAGAGGGGGGUAGAAUUCCACGUGUAGCAGUGAAAUGCGUAGAUAUGUGGAGGAAUACCGAUGGCGAAGGCAGCCCCCUGGGCUAACACUGACGCUCAUGCACGAAAGCGUGGGGAGCAAACAGGAUUAGAUACCCCAGUAGUCCCUGAGCGGGCUGGCAAGGCGCAU